rnacentral:rRNA from 1 species
AUAGGAAAUUGUUAGUGGCAGACGGGUGAGUAAUGCGUAGGAAUCUACCUAGUAGUACGGAAUAGCCAUUAGAAAUGGUGGGUAAUACUGUAUAAUCCCCGAGGGGGAAAGAUUUAUCGCUAUUAGAUGAGCCUACGUUAGAUUAGCUAGUUGGUGAGGUAAUGGCUUACCAAGGCUAUGAUCUAUAGCUGGUCUGAGAGGACGAUCAGCCACACUGGAACUGAGAUACGGUCCAGACUCCUACGGGAGGCAGCAGUGGGGAAUAUUGGACAAUGGGCGAAAGCCUGAUCCAGCUAUGCCGCG